rnacentral:rRNA from 1 species
GACGAACGCUGGCGGCGUGCUUAACACAUGCAAGUCGAACGGAAAGGCCCUGCUUGCAGGGUACUCGAGUGGCGAACGGGUGAGUAACACGUGGGUGAUCUGCCCUGCACUUCGGGAUAAGCCUGGGAAACUGGGUCUAAUACCGGAUAGGAGCCAUUUUUAGUGUGAUGGUUGGAAAGUUUUUUCGGUGUAGGAUGAGCUCGCGGCCUAUCAGCUUGUUGGUGGGGUAAUGGCCUACCAAGGCGGCGACGGGUAGCCGGCCUGAGGGGGUGGACGGCCACAUUGGGACUGAGAUACGGCCCAGACUCCUACGGGAGGCAGCAGUGGGGAAUCUUGCACCAUGGGCGCCAGCCUGAUGCAGCGACGCCGCGUGGGGGAUGACGGCCUUCUGGUUGUAAACUCCUUUCGCUAGGGACGAAGCUUUUUGUGACGGUACCUAGAUAAGAAGCACCGGCUAACUACGUG